UUUAGGGAGACCUACCCGCUCUUAAGCUGAACGCAUACUGUUAAUAAGCAAGAGUUGGUCAUCCCAAGGUCGAACGAGGUUAAGUGUUGGCUUUCAAACUAUUCUGGGUUCAGUGCCACCCGCAGUGGUUAAAUCCCUCCUUGGGAGUGCGGUUUGGCCCAUUGCAGUGCGGUUUUAGCAUCGCUAGAGUAGUGGUUAUGGCAGCUGCUUGCGAACUGGAAGUUGAGACCCAGACCGCCACGCCACGAAGGAACCAACAAGUCAUGAACAACCGAAAGAACUUAGUGGUGAUACCCCACAAACAGAACUAGACACGCUAUAGUCAUAAAUGUGGCAAACGCGUUAGCCGGUCAGCGAGUGCACCGAUACUAACCAAACAAAUAGCCUUUAAUUAUUUUGGAUCAGCUUUCAGCAACUUGUUUAGUCAUGCAACGGCAGACUAGAGAGCCUGCUGGAUUUAGUUCCAGCCAGAACCUUGAAAACUGCAUAGUAACUUGUCAGGUAGAAAAGAUGAGUAGGUGUUUGUAGCUUUGUGAGCAGUGUUAGCACUGUUGACUGGUUACGGCAGGUUAUUUAUCGAAUCACAGACACCAAUGAGAUUGAUAGU
rnacentral:misc_RNA from 1 species